GAUGAACGCUGGCGGCGUGCCUAAUACAUGCAAGUCGAGCGAACAGACGAGGAGCUUGCUCCUCUGUCGUUAGCGGAGGACGGGUGAGUAACACGUGGAUAACGUACCUAUCAGACUGGGAUAACUUCGGGAAACCGGAUCUAAUACCGGAUGAUAUAUUGAACCGCGUGGUUCAAUAGUGAAAGACGGUUUUGCGGUAAGUUAUAGAUGGUUACGCGCCGCAUUAGCUAGUUGGUAAGGUACAAGCUUACCAAGGGUACGAUGCGUGACCGACGUCAGAGGCUGGUCGGCCACACGGGAACGUGGACACGCACAAGACGCCUACGAGAGGCAGCAGUAGCGAAUGUGACGCAAUGGUCGAGAGCCUGACGGAGCAACGCCGCGUGAGUGAUGAAGGUCUUCGGAGCGGAAAACUCUGUUAUUAGGGAAGAACAAAUGUGUAAGUAACUGUGCACGUCUUGACGGUACCGAGUCAGAAAGCCACGGCUAACUACGUG
rnacentral:rRNA from 1 species